CCUACGGGAGGCAGCAGUGAGGAAUAUUGGUCAAUGGUCGGGAGACUGAACCAGCCAAGCCGCGUGAGGGAUGAAGGUACAGAGUAUCGUAAACCUCUUUUGUCAGGGAACAAAGGCGGGGACGUGUCCCCGGAUGAGUGUACCUGAAGAAAAAGCAUCGGCUAACUCCGUGCCAGCAGCCGCGGUAAUACGGAGGAUGCGAGCGUUAUCCGGAUUUAUUGGGUUUAAAGGGUGCGCAGGCGUUCUGUUAAGUCAGGGGUAAAAGCCCGGGGCUCAACCCCGGCCCGCCGUUGAAACUGGCAGUCUCGAGUUGGAGAGAAGUAUGCGGAAUGCGCGGUGUAGCGGUGAAAUGCAUAGAUAUCGCGCAGAACUCCGAUUGCGAAGGCAGCAUGCCGGCUCCACACUGACGCUGAGGCACGAAAGCGUGGGUAUCGAACAGGAUUAGAUACCCUGGUAGUC
rnacentral:rRNA from 1 species